rnacentral:rRNA from 1 species
UACGUAGGGCGCAAGCGUUGUCCGGAAUUAUUGGGCGUAAAGAGCUCGUAGGCGGUCUGUCGCGUCGGCUGUGAAAACCCGAGGCUCAACCUCGGGCCUGCAGUCGAUACGGGCAGACUAGAGUGCUGUAGGGGAGACUGGAAUUCCUGGUGUAGCGGUGAAAUGCGCAGAUAUCAGGAGGGAACACCCGGUGGGCGAAGGCGGGGUCUCUGGGGCAGUAAACUGAC